rnacentral:lncRNA from 1 species
CAAAUUUCCCUUCAAAAUAAAAAUAGGAUAAAUAAGUUUUUAUAUAAGAUCUGUUUAUUAAACCUGAUUCUUUGCAUCUGGCUUCCCACACUGUUCUGAGAGAGCCUACUCAUCUCAUUCAGUAGGCCCGACCCCAAUAAAAUUUGAUAUAUCCAUGAGAAAUGUCCGAAGACAGAGAUGGUGUGGGUCGAAAUUCAUAGGUGGAUUGGAAUUUCUACUGCGCAGCCACAACUCAUCAACAUGCAUUUCGAGUCAUUCAUAAACUUAGGCACGGGGAAGGAAAAUGAGAAAUUUCUUACGGCUCUUUGGAUUUGCACCGUGUGGCAGCUGUGGAAGAAACGAAAUGAGUGUAGGUUCGAUGGCAAGGGGUGGGAGCCGAAGAAUUUGGUAUGUGAGAUCAAAAGUAUUUUGUGGAGUUGGGUUAGUAUUUUUAAUCUGUGUGGUGUGGAGCGAAAUUUUGCCUCAUGGUGUUCUUCUGAUCCCAUGGAUCAUUUUCUGUAAACUGUAAACUGUUGGGUACCUCUGGUACCAACUUCUCUUUCCU